CCCUUAGAUGUUCGGGGCCGCACGCGCGCUACACUGAAGGAAUCAGCACGUCUUUCUCCUUGUCCGAAAGGACUGGGUAACCCGCUGAACCUCCUUCGUGCUAGGGGUUGGGGCUUGUAAUUCUUCCCCAUGAACGAGGAAUUCCCAGUAAGCGCGAGUCAUAAGCUCGCGUUGAUUACGUCCCUGCCCUUUGUACACACCGCCCGUCGCUACUACCGAUUGGAUGGUUUAGUGAGAUCCUCGGAUUGGUCCCGGCGCGGCCUCUGGUCGUGCCGGAGUGCCGAAAAGAAUGUCGAACUUGAUCAUCUAGAGGAAGUAAAAGUCGUAACA
rnacentral:rRNA from 1 species